UUGAACGCUGGCGGCAGGCCUAACACAUGCAAGUCGAGCGGUAACACAGAGAGCUUGCUCUCGGGUGACGAGCGGCGGACGGGUGAGUAAUGUCUGGGAAACUGCCUGAUGGAGGGGGAUAACUACUGGAAACGGUAGCUAAUACCGCAUAACGUCGCAAGACCAAAGUGGGGGACCUUCGGGCCUCAUGCCAUCAGAUGUGCCCAGAUGGGAUUAGCUAGUAGGUGGGGUAACGGCUCACCUAGGCGACGAUCCCUAGCUGGUCUGAGAGGAUGACCAGCCACACUGGAACUGAGACACGGUCCAGACUCCUACGGGAGGCAGCAGUGGGGAAUAUUGCACAAUGGGCGCAAGCCUGAUGCAGCCAUGCCGCGUGUGUGAAGAAGGCCUUCGGGUUGUAAAGCACUUUCAGCGGGGAGGAAGGCGGUGAGGUUAAUAACCUCAUCGAUUGACGUUACCCGCAGAAGAAGCACCGGCUAACUCCGUGCCAGCAGCCGCGGUAAUACGGAGGGUGCAAGCGUUAAUCGGAAUUACUGGGCGUAAAGCGCACGCAGGCGGUCUGUCAAGUCGGAUGUGAAAUCCCCGGGCUCAACCUGGGAACUGCAUUCGAAACUGGCAGGCUAGAGUCUUGUAGAGGGGGGUAGAAUUCCAGGUGUAGCGGUGAAAUGCGUAGAGAUCUGGAGGAAUACCGGUGGCGAAGGCGGCCCCCUGGACAAAGACUGACGCUCAGGUGCGAAAGCGUGGGGAGCAAACAGGAUUAGAUACCCUGGUAGUCCACGCCGUAAACGAUGUCGAUUUGGAGGUUGUGCCCUUGAGGCGUGGCUUCCGGAGCUAACGCGUUAAAUCGACCGCCUGGGGAGUACGGCCGCAAGGUUAAAACUCAAAUGAAUUGACGGGGGCCCGCACAAGCGGUGGAGCAUGUGGUUUAAUUCGAUGCAACGCGAAGAACCUUACCUGGUCUUGACAUCCACAGAACUUUCCAGAGAUGGAUUGGUGCCUUCGGGAACUGUGAGACAGGUGCUGCAUGGCUGUCGUCAGCUCGUGUUGUGAAAUGUUGGGUGAAGUCCCGCAACGAGCGCAACCCUUAUCCUUUGUUGCCAGCGGUUAGGCCGGGAACUCAAAGGAGACUGCCAGUGAUAAACUGGAGGAAGGUGGGGAUGACGUCAAGUCAUCAUGGCCCUUACGACCAGGGCUACACACGUGCUACAAUGGCAUAUACAAAGAGAAGCGACCUCGCGAGAGCAAGCGGACCUCAUAAAGUAUGUCGUAGUCCGGAUUGGAGUCUGCAACUCGACUCCAUGAAGUCGGAAUCGCUAGUAAUCGUAGAUCAGAAUGCUACGGUGAAUACGUUCCCGGGCCUUGUACACACCGCCCGUCACACCAUGGGAGUGGGUUGCAAAAGAAGUAGGUAGCUUAACCUUCGGGAGGGCGCUUACCACUUUGUGAUUCAUGACUGGGGUG
rnacentral:rRNA from 1 species